rnacentral:rRNA from 1 species
AGGAAGAGAAAGAAAAUUCGAUUCCCUGAGUAGCGGCGAGCGAAACGGGAAAAGCCCAAACCAACAAGCUUGCUUGUUGGGGUUGUAGGACUCCAAUAUGGUCGUUCUUUCAGAUAGUCGAAUGACUUGGAAAAGUCAGUCAAAGAGGGUAAAAACCCCGUAGACGAAAUGUGGAAGACACCUAGGAGGAUCCUGAGUACGGCGGAACACGAGAAAUUCCGUCGGAAUCCGGGAGGACCAUCUCCCAAGGCUAAAUACUCCCUAGUGACCGAUAGUGAACCAGUACCGUGAGGGAAAGGUGAAAAGCACCCCGGAAGGGGAGUGAAAUAGAACCUGAAACCGUGUGCCUACAACAAGUCAAAGCCCGUUAAUGGGUGAUGGCGUGCCUUUUGUAGAAUGAACCGGCGAGUUACGAUUGCAUGCGAGGUUAAGUUGAAGAGACGGAGCCGCAGCGAAAGCGAGUCUGAAUAGGGCGUUUGAGUAUGUAGUCGUAGACCCGAAACCAUGUGAUCUACCCAUGUCCAGGUUGAAGGUGCGGUAAAACGCACUGGAGGACCGAACCCACGUACGUUGAAAAGUGCGGGGAUGAGGUGUGGGUAGCGGAGAAAUUCCAAACGAACUUGGAGAUAGCUGGUUCUCUCCGAAAUAGCUUUAGGGCUAGCCUCGGAAUUGAGAAUGAUGGAGGUAGAGCACUGUUUGGACUAGGGGCCCAUCUCGGGUUACCGAAUUCAGAUAAACUCCGAAUGCCAUUCAUUCAUAUCCGGGAGUCAGACUGUGAGUGAUAAGAUCCAUAGUCGAAAGGGAAACAGCCCAGACCACCAGCUAAGGUCCCAAAAUAUAUGUUAAGUGGAAAAGGAUGUGGGGUUGCACAGACAACUAGGAUGUUGGCUUAGAAGCAGCCACCAUUUAAAGAGUGCGUAAUAGCUCACUAGUCGAGUGACCCUGCGCCGAAAAUGUACCGGGGCUAAACAUAUUACCGAAGCUGUGGAGUACACCUUUAGGUGUAUUGGUAGGAGAGCGUUCUAAGGGCGUCGAAGGCAGAUCGUGAGGACUGCUGGAGCGCUUAGAAGUGAGAAUGCCGGUAUGAGUAGCGAAAGACAGGUGAGAAUCCUGUCCACCGAAUGACUAAGGUUUCCUGGGGAAGGCUCGUCCGCCCAGGGUUAGUCGGGACCUAAGCCGAGGCCGAUAGGCGUAGGCGAUGGAUAACAGGUUGAUAUUCCUGUACCCGUUGUUUUUGUUUGAGCAAUGGAGGGACGCAGGAGGCUAAGGAAUGCAGACGAU